GCCCUGUGGCUGUGGGAAGGAGCCUGCAACAUGGCAGGGUUCAUCUAUCCUCAGGUUCGUGUGAUCCCCACUUGUUGGGAUGGGCAGAGUGACAUGGGGUGGUGUCUUAGGGUCACCAUUGCUGUGGCGAGACACCAUGGCCAAAGCAACUUGGGAAGGAAAGGGCUGAUUUAGCUUGCAUUUCCACUUCAUCAUCAAAGGGAGUCAGGACAGCAACUCCAACAGGGCAGGAACUUGGAGACCUAGCUUUCUCUCCCUCCUUCCAUCACAUUCCCUUUCUUCCCCACCCCCUCUUGCUCCAUUUCUCUCAGGCUGGCCUUGAACUCUGUGCAGCCGAGGUUGGCUUUGAACUCCUUAUCUUUCUGCUUCUUGGCUAGUGUUAGGAUUACAGAUGUGUACCACUACCCCUGGCUCUGGGGUCUGCACUUUAAAUGAUACAAAUUAAACAACCAAGUUUAUUUCUGGAUAUGGCAAACCGGGACUGAAUGGGGAGAUGGAAGCCAGGUCAAGGGGUUGCUGCUGGGCAUGCAAGGAAGAAGGAUCUUCAUCGUAACAGAUGAGUUUAGAGGAAGGGAAGACACAGAGAUGAGACAAAAACAACAGCAACAAGAAAAAGUAGACUGAAAUAAGAUCUAGCCAGGCAUAGUAGCGCUCUACUGUGAUCCCAGUUCUUGAGGCAAGACCAGCAUAAAGAAAGGCUAUCCUUGGCUACAUAGUGAGUUCAAGCCUGGGCUACACAAGACUGCUUCAGGGGAUCAGGGCAGCGGGGUAGUGGUAGUGGCGAUGGGAAGGAAUAGUGGACUUUAAAAAUGAAGCCUGUUGGGGGGGGGGGGUGAGUCAGGUUCGUAAUUUCUGCCUUUACAGGAAUGGCUGUGAAAAGACAAAAAACUACUCCUAGAAAUUUGAAGGAGCAGGUACAGGGCACAGAGAGAAGCCCCCAGGAAGCGAAUGAGAAGGAACAAAAGAAUACGCUCUGGCUGUCACUUCACGUGCCAUCAGUGACGGGGACCUGGGAGAUCUGGAGCAGAGAAGCAAGCGACCGAAGCACUCAAGAAGAAGAGCCUGUCUUUGCUGAGGGACCUGGUGAGACACACUGGACAGGGUCUCUCUGUGUAGCCCUGGCUGUCCUGGACCUCUCUAUAGACCAGGCUGGCCUCAAACUCAAGAGGUCUGCCUGCCUCUGCCUCCUGAGUGCUGGGAUUACAAGUGUGCGCCACCAUGUCCAGCCCUAGGAAGUGUGUGUGUGUGUGUGUGUGUGUGUGUGUGUGUGUGUGUCUGCGCCCACACAGCCUUUAAUCUGGUAAGUUUCCUCUCAGGUGGAGCCCAUCCAGAACUGGGCUUGGCAGGAUGGAAGCUGUGGCACUGAAGCGGGAAUCUUCCGUGACCACCAUUUCCUGCCUCGCUCCUGCUGCAGCUGAGUCCUUGUAGUGGCCUGGAGUCUUCGUGUGGCCUGGAUUCCAUGCCUGGUCUCUGAUCAAAAGUGGCAGAUUGGGAAUAUUCAUUUCUUCUCACUACCUUUUCUGCCUUUUGCAUUGUUGGUUUCAACCCCAAGGUCUAACACGAGACAAAUGGUGUAAACUGAGUCACACCCAACCUGUGUUCUUUCUCAGGAACUCUCAUCAGAUGUAAAGAGAAACAGGCAAACAGGCUAGGAGUGGUGGCACACACCUGCAGCCCCAGAACUCAGGAGGCAUAGGUUGAGGACCAGGAGUCCAGAGUCAGUGUAUCAGGGUUCUCUGAGGAGCAAAUAGAAUGAAUACACGCGCGUGCAUACACACACACACACACACAUUUUAUAUAUAUAAAGGGGAUUUAUUAGAAUGGCUUAUAGGCUGUGGUCCAGCUAGUCUGACAAUGGCUGUCUACCAACAAAAGGUCCAAGAAUCCAGUAGCUGUCCAGUCCAGGAGGCUGUGCGUCUCAGCUGGUCUUCAAUAUAUGCUGGAGGCUCAAAGUACACUGCAGUGCCAUGGAAGGAAUGGACUUGCCAGAAAGAACAGGCAGGCAAAGAGAGCAAGCCUCCUCCUUCCACGUCCUUAAAGGUGGAUCUUCCCACCGCAAAAGAACUGGAUUAUAAACCGGUCAGAUGAUUUAAUUAAGAAAAAAAAAAUCCCUCACAGCUGUUUUAGUGUGACCAGCUAUUUUAGUUAAUUCUAGAUUAACUAAAUUGACAACCAAGAACAGGCACCACAGUCAUUGUCUGCUGUUUUGAGAUUCUGAGGCCAGCCUGGGCUACAGGAGACCACAUUUCAAAAGAUAAAAACAAACAAAAAUAACCAAAACUCCAAAAGCAAUAGGAAAAGGGAACUGGCAACCGAAGGGAGCGUUUUCACAUUAAUUAAAGUGAACAUCCCAAUUGCA